rnacentral:sRNA from 1 species
GCCAGGUGUAGUGGCUCAUGCCUGUAAUCCCAGUGACUUGGGAGGCUGAGGCAGGAGGAUCACAAGUUCAAAGCUAGCCUCAGCAACUUAGUGAGACCCUGAUUCAA